rnacentral:rRNA from 1 species
AUACGUAGGGUGCAAGCGUUAAUCGGAAUUACUGGGCGUAAAGCGUGCGCAGGCGGUUUUGUAAGACAGAGGUGAAAUCCCCGGGCUCAACCUGGGAACUGCCUUUGUGACUGCAAAGCUAGAGUACGGCAGAGGGGGAUGGAAUUCCGCGUGUAGCAGUGAAAUGCGUAGAUAUGCGGAGGAACACCGAUGGCGAAGGCAAUCCCCUGGGCCUGUACUGUCGCGCAUGCACGAAAGCGUGGGGAGCAAACAGGAUUAGAUACCCUGGUAGUCCACGCCCUAAACGAUGUCAACUGGUUGUUGGGUCUUCAUUGACUCAGUAACGAAGCUAACGCGUGAAGUUGACCGCCUGGGGGGUACGGCCGCAAGGUUGAAACUCAAAUGAAUUGACGGGG